GAGAGAAUUGCUGAACUCGACCCACUUCAUCCUGAUUUGCCUUUGCCUAAUUUUCGUAAUCAAUUUUCGGCUCUUCAGAUGUUGCUCACUCUUCCAAAAUAGAGAACAGGAGGCAGAAGGCAAAGGGAAGCCAGAACAGAAGACAAAAGAGAUGCCCGCAUACAAUAGCACAGACCUUACAUCUCUGCACUGUUAUUGCUAAGGUUGAUGAACGAUAUCCUGGUGAAUGAGUUCAGCUCGAAGCCAUCACAUGUUUUCUCUCUUGAAUCUUUUUGCGGUCUGGGCUUGCUGUUCCUUUGUCUGACAAUCAGGAAGCCCUUACCCCAAAAAGUAUUUGCGUGGGAUACAGACUGCAGUGGGGCAUCAGUCAACAGAACCAGCAACUCCCAAGCUGCCUUCACAGGAGAGGGUGCAGAAGAAGUGGAAUGCUGCUGCCAAUCCAAGCAAAACAAAAAUGCUCCCGUUCCAGAAAUAACAUGUUCCCUUUUGAGGGUAAGGCAGAUAUUUGGAAGUAAAAUAAUGGGGGGAGAUGAAGAAUAAGAUGAGAUGAUAAAUGAGUGAUUGGUUUCAUGGGAAGAGAGACAAAGAUGUUAUGGUCUUUGGUGUCAAUGUAAGCACUAUUGUGAGUUCUUAUGCAUUGCUAGAAGGUCAGGCCUGGCCAUGAAGAGGUUGCUCCUCAUCAAUGGGGUUUAUCACUAAGGGUAUCUCAUUACUAGGAAAACGUUUGAUUAAAUACUAAGGACCAAAGUUAAAAUGUUAAUUAGAAUCCAAUCAGAUACGAUGAACCCUUUUAUUAUUCACCCUUGCAUAAGGUACAUACAAUGUAGAAAAACACUGAAUUCCAAAUGUUACUGAGAGGCACACAGCAGAAAUGAAUAUAGACAGUUAUGAUGGAACAUGGGUGCAGGAGAAAGGCAUUAUGCUUCUUGGGCCUUUUCCGUCAGAUAGAUCAUAGUUGAUCUGCAUUUUAACUUCACCUGCCAUUUUAGUAUAAACUCCCACAAUACUCCUGUCAAAAAAAUAUCACUUGAUCUUGGCUUUGAUGCUUUUAAACAUGUCCAAGACACAACAGUUUUCUUAGGGGGAUAGUUCCAUUAAUCUUACGUGCAGAAGUGCUUCUUGACAACAUGGAAUGGUUGUAUACUUGUGACACUAUAACCAACCCCUCCCCUAUCAAAGAUUCUCCCGUGACUCAAAAUAUUUCUAUUUACUCUGUAAUAUUUAGCUUUUAUCCUUUACCCUUUAAAUAAUUUAAAUACCUCAACUACAUCACCUCUCCGGGAAAUGCAUCCUUGUCCAUGCAACUAUCCUCCUAAUUUAUUAAUUUUUGGAUGAAUUGUUAUUCUGGAGAAUGUGUGCCAAUCUUUUCCAAGACGCAUGGACCCUUAUUGAAAAAUGACUCGACAAAGGGGAGAUUUUAGGAAAAAGUUCUUGGUGUACCCUGUCAUUAUUGAGGAUUCCAGGAAUUUCCAACCUAUCUCCUGAAGCGUUAACAAAUAAAAUAUUUUAAGAAUUUUAUUUAAAAAAAAUUUAAAAAUAAAAAUAAUAAUUUAAAAAAAAAAGAAAUUUAA